GACGAACGCUGGCGGCGUGCUUAACACAUGCGAGUCGAACGGAAAGGCCCUGCUUUUGUGGGGUGCUCGAGUGGCGAACGGGUGAGUAACACGUGAGUAACCUGCCCUUGACUUUGGGAUAACUUCAGGAAACUGGGGCUAAUACCGGAUAGGAGCUCCUGCUGCAUGGUGGGGGUUGGAAAGUUUCGGCGGUUGGGGCUGGACUCGCGGCUUAUCAGCUUGUUGGUGGGGUAGUGGCUUACCAAGGCCUUGACGGGUAGCCGGCCUGAGAGGGUGACCGGCCACAUUGGGACUGAGAGACGGCCCAGACUCCUACGGGAGGCAGCAGUGGGGAAUAUUGCACAAUGGGCGGAAGCCUGAUGCAGCAACGCCGCGUGCGGGAUGACGGCCUGCGGGUUGUAAACCGCUUUCGCCUGUGACGAAGCGUGAGUGACGGUAAUGGGUAAAGAAGCACCGGCUAACUACGUG
rnacentral:rRNA from 1 species